GUUUUCUCAAUUGUUUUGUUGAAAAUAAAUUUGCUGGUUCAAAAAUCAAUACGAAAAAAAAUUGCAAAUUAAUGACAUUAGCUGAUCAAUGUAAGAUAAUUCUUGGUGAUAAUGAUGUACGCAACCGACGUCAGGUAUUUGGCCACAGCAAUUUUUGACGGAUCAUUUGGCAACUAUCCAACGAUUUCCUUUUCAUAUAUCUUUUUUCUUUACUAAAUAUAUAUUUUAAACAAAUAAAUGAAUUUUAAUUUAAUGUCUUA
rnacentral:sRNA from 1 species